rnacentral:lncRNA from 1 species
UGGUUUAGGAUUUAAGAUUUGAUUAGGAUUUGGUUUAUCAUUUAGGGUUUGAUUAGGAUUUGAUAUAGGGUUAGGAUUUGGUUAGGAUUUGAUCUAGGAUUUAGGAUUUGAUUAGGGUUUGAUUUAGGGUUAGGAUAUUAAGAUUUGAUUUAGGAUUUAGGAUUUGAUUUAGGAUUUAAGAUUUGGUUAGGGUUUGAUUUAGGAUUUAGGAUUUGGUUAGAAUUUGAUUUAGAAUUAGGAUUUGGUUAGGAUUUGAUUUAAGAUUAGAAUUUGGUUAGAAUUUAAUUUAGGAUUUAGGGUUUGGUUUAGGAUUUAUAGUUUGGUUUAGGAUUUAAGGUUUGAUUAGGAUUUGAUUUUGAGUUUAGGAUUUGGUCAAGAUUUGAUUUAGGAUUUAGGAUUUUAUUUGAGUUUGUUUAGGAUUUAAAAUUUAGUUAAUUUUUGGCCUAAAGUUUGAAUGAAGUUCAAUAGGAUUUCAACUAGGAUUAAAUUAAGAUUGAAUUGAGAUGUAUUUGAGAUAUAUUUGUAAUCAUUCUUAUAUUUUUUUAAGAUUUUUUAUUGUUUUUUUGUAAUUCCUUUGAGGUUUCUCUAAAUUUGAUUAAAGCUUGUUUAGCAUUGUUAGUGUUCUAUUAGACUUAGGAUUUUGUUGU